rnacentral:rRNA from 1 species
GUCUACGGCCAUGCCACCCUGAACACACCUGAUCUCAUCUGAUCUCGGAAGCUAAACAGGGUCGGGCCUGGUUAGUGCUUGGAUGGGAGACCACCUAGGAAGACCGGGUGCUGUAGGCU